AGGCAACAGGUUGAGUAAUGUUCUAACAUCUUUAUUCAUAAUACCUAGAAACAACCUGAAUGUCUACCAAGAGUAUAUUCAUAAAAAGAAACACCCUGAAGACAUGGACGCAAAGACUAAAAUAUGUUUUUUUUUUUUUUAAAGAUUUUAUGUUUUUCCUUUUUCUCCCCAAAGCACCCUGGUACAUAGUUGUAUACUCUUAGUUGUGGGUCCUUCUAGAAGGUUUGAUGAGCAGUGCCAUGUCCGCACCCAGGAUUCAAACUGAUGAAACACUGGGUCGCCUGCAGCGGAGCACGGGCACUUAACCACUGGGCCACGGGGCCAGCCCCUAAAAUAUGGGUUUUUUUAAAGCUAGAAUUAAAAAAACAAGUCAUAGAAGAAUGCAUACAAGAGGAUUCAACUUAUGGAAAGUUCAAAAAUAGGAACCUGCAAACCCUCCUGCCUCAAAUACUGUUUAGGGAAACAAACACAAGCAGCAAAACUAUAAAGAGAAGCAAGGGAAUGAUUAACAUAAAUUCAUGGUAGUGUUACCUUUAAAAGUAAUCUUGGGUGAUGAAAUUCAGGGAGAGCAUUUAGAGAGCUUCUAAGGUACUAGUACUGUACUCGUUCUCACUAAGAGGGGUGUGGGUUUUCAUUGUUUACAGGCAUACCUCAGAGACGUUACAAGUUCUGUUCCAGACCACCACAAUAAAGCAAAUAUUGCAAUAAAUCGGUCUUCACAUUACAGCUGGAGGGGUCGUGUUUUUAAAGGCUGCUCCCGCUGAAAUUCGCUGUGAGAAAAUAGAAGCAGAAAGAAUACUGCUUAACUCAUUCCAUGAGGCCAGCAUUACUCUAAUACCCAAACCAGAAAAAGACAUUACAAUUGCUGUCUAGAGGGAAGACGCAUGUCCUCCCUGAAAAAUGGAGAUGAUAAGAAAAGACACAUUUACCUCACAGGAUUAUUGUGAAGAUCAAAUAAAGAGGGUAUGAAUUGCGUAUGAUUGGGUAGCACCUGGAACCCUACAGCAGACUAGUUGUCAUUCUUCAGGAAGAAAGGGAACUUCCUGCUUUGUACUGGGACACACAGACUGGGACUUAUGGGGAGGCUGGCGAAGUCUCGGGUGCCUCCGGACGCUGACUUAUGAAGUAUUUGGUGCCAGAAUUGGCUCCGGGAAAUGACCGUCA
rnacentral:lncRNA from 1 species